CCCCUGUAGUUCAGUUGGUAAGGAAUCUGCCUGCAAUGCAGAAGACCCAGGUUUGAUUCCUGGAUCAGGAA
rnacentral:tRNA from 1 species